rnacentral:rRNA from 1 species
UACAGGGGGUGCAAACGUUGCUCGGAAUUAUUGGGCGUAAAGCGCGCGUAGGCGGUCUUGUAAGUCGGAUGUGAAAGCCCUCGGCUUAACUGAGGAAGUGCAUCCGAAACUGCAAGGCUUGAGUACGAAAGAGGAUCGCGGAAUUCCCGGUGUAGAGGUGAAAUUCGUAGAUAUCUGGAGGAACACCGGUGGCGAAGGCGGCAUCCUGGACCAAUAUUGACGCUGAGGAGCGAAAGCCAGGGGAGCAAACGGG